rnacentral:rRNA from 1 species
UACGUAGGGGGCUAGCGUUGUCCGGAAUCAUUGGGCGUAAAGAGCGCGUAGGCGGCUGGAAUAGUCCGGUGUGAAAUCCACAGGCUUAACCUGUGAAUGCCGCUGGAAACUGUCUGGCUAGAGUCCGGAAGGGGCGAGUGGAAUUCCUGGUGUAGCGGUGAAAUGCGCAGAUAUCAGGAGGAACACCAAUGGCGAAGGCAGCUCGCUGGGACGGUGCUGACGCUGAGGCGCGAAAGCGUGGGGAGCGAACAGG